rnacentral:rRNA from 1 species
UACGUAGGUGGCAAGCGUUGUCCGGAUUUACUGGGCGUAAAGAGCGCGCAGGCGGUCGUUCAAGUCGCGUGUGAAAGCCCCCGGCUCAACUGGGGAGGGUCACGCGAUACUGAUCGACUCGAAGGCAGGAGAGGGUAGUGGAAUUCCCGGUGUAGUGGUGAAAUGCGUAGAUAUCAAGAGGAACACCUGAGGUGAAGACGGGUUGCUGGGCUGACACUGACGCUGAGGCGCGAAAGCCAGGGGAGCAAACGGGG